CUUGGAUUAGUGGAUGGUAGGAAAGGGGUUACAGGGGCUGCAGGAUGAUAGGGCAGCCCCCAGGCCCUUGAGCAUAGUCAUCUACCACCCCACCUUUCCCCUAGCUGCUAUCAUGGUCUUCCUCAGAGUCUUGGUGCACCCUUCUUUCCUUCAGAGUGCCUGCUCCUGUCCCUGAGAAGGGAGGUGAUGGAGUUCCUGGGGAGGAACCCUUCUACCCUGCAUGCCUACCUGCUAUACGGAAGCUGCUACAGAACAUAAUAAGCAGAACCGCACAUGCUGACAGAUCCCCAGAACACACUGCCAUGAAGACACCUAUCUACCUAGGGUCUACACUGGAAGAGACACCAAAGAGACAGUGUCAGAAUUUGCUUGCACAGGAGAAAGAAGAAGAAAAGUCCUAUAAGGUUUUAAAAUUUGGAUGAGUAAACUGUGACCUUAGCAAGUGAUUAAUCUUUCUGAGCCUCAGUUUCUUUCUGCAUCACUGCAUGUUGUGAGGAUCUCAGUGAAUGCUAGCUUCCCCUUUGUUGGAAAUGGAAAGCGUAUGCAGGGG
rnacentral:lncRNA from 1 species